rnacentral:rRNA from 1 species
AGUGAACGCUGGCGGUAGGCCUAACACAUGCCAGUCGAACGGCAGCACAGUAAGAGCUUGCUCUUACGGGUGGCGAGUGGCGGACGGGUGAGGAAUACAUCGGAAUCUACUUUUUCGUGGGGGUUAACGUAGGGAAACUUACGCUAAUACCGCAUACGACCUUCGGGUGAAAGCAGGGGAUCUUCGGACCUUGCGCGAUCGAAUGAGCCGAUGUCGGAUUAGCUAGUUGGCGGGGUAAAGGCCCACCAAGGCGACGAUCCGUAGCUGGUCUGAGAGGAUGAUCAGCCACACUGGAACUGAGACACGGUCCAGACUCCUACGGGAGGCAGCAGUGGGGAAUAUUGGACAAUGGGCGCAAGCCUGAUCCAGCCAUACCGCGUGGGUGAAGAAGGCCUUCGGGUUGUAAAGCCCUUUUGUUGGGAAAGAAAAGCAGCAGGUUAAUACCCCGCUGUUCUGACGGUACCCAAAGAAUAAGCACCGGCUAACUUCGUG